CUAGUCCACCAAAACUUGAAACAACAUCCAGUGACGGCGGUCGUGCGCUCAGGCAGAAGGCGCAGCUGCACGGCGAACCCCCCAAGCCCAGCGCGACUGCGCCGCCCUGGUGGGAGCGGCUCCGGGUACCUGCUGAGCGGGUGGCUGGCUGCGGCGCGGGGCGCGCAGCGCGACUCGGCGUUGGGGGGCUGGGCGCGGGCGUACGAGUGGUAGGCGGUCAGCACCACGCCGCCCGAGUCCUCCACCUCCAUCGUCAGCCGCGCAUGUCUCGGCGCCGGCCCCAGAACAAAGACCGGGACCAGCAUGGACCGGCGCGCCGGGAGGCUGUCAGCAGCUGGGCGGCGCGGCCCGAGCCCUCUUCCAACUGGAGGCUUAUCCUGUGGCUGGGAACAUUUCCUGCCUGGCUGCGAGGAGUGAGACUAAGAAACCAUACCUCAGGCUGAGGAGAGAGGCCAGGUUUGAUAUGUGUGCUCUGGGGAAGAAAAGGAGAAAAUGUGACACUCUCUC
rnacentral:lncRNA from 1 species